rnacentral:rRNA from 1 species
UACGAAGGAUGCAAGCGUUAUCCGGAUUUAUUGGGUUUAAAGGGUGCGUAGGCGGACUUAUAAGUCAGUGGUGAAAUCUCGUUGCUUAACAACGAACGUGCCAUUGAUACUGUAGGUCUUGAGUACAGAUGCCGUUGGCGGAAUGUGUCAUGUAGCGGUGAAAUGCAUAGAUAUGACACAGAACACCGAUUGCGAAGGCAGCUGACGAAACUGUAACUGACGCUGAGGCACGAAAGCGUGGGGAUCAAAUAGG